rnacentral:rRNA from 1 species
GUUUUGAGAGUUUGAUCCUGGCUCAGGACGAACGCUGGCGGCAUGCCUAACACAUGCAAGUCGAACGGAACUAAGGGGCUUGCCCUUUAGUUUAGUGGCGGACGGG